rnacentral:rRNA from 1 species
CCUACGGGAGGCAGCAGUGGGGAAUAUUGGACAAUGGGCGAAAGCCUGAUCCAGCAAUGCCGCGUGAGUGAUGAAGGCCUUAGGGUUGUAAAGCUCUUUUACCAGGGAUGAUAAUGACAGUACCUGGAGAAUAAGCUCCGGCUAACUCCGUGCCAGCAGCCGCGGUAAUACGGAGGGAGCUAGCGUUGUUCGGAAUUACUGGGCGUAAAGCGUACGUAGGCGGUUAUUCAAGUCAGAGGUGAAAGCCCGGGGCUCAACCCCGGAACUGCCUUUGAAACUAGAUAGCUAGAAUCUUGGAGAGGUUAGUGGAAUUCCGAGUGUAGAGGUGAAAUUCGUAGAUAUUCGGAAGAACACCAGUGGCGAAGGCGACUAACUGGACAAGUAUUGACGCUGAGGUACGAAAGCGUGGGGAGCAAACAGGAUUAGAUACCCUGGUAGUCCACGCCGUAAACGAUGAUAACUAGUUGUUCGGGCACUUGGUGCCUGAGUGACGCAGCUAACGCAUUAAGUUAUCCGCCUGGGGAGUACGGUCGCAAGAUUAAAACUCAAAAGUAUAAUACGACGGNGNGAGNGCGACGACGACGACGACGGAGGAGG